rnacentral:rRNA from 1 species
GAUCCUGGCUCAGAAUCAACGCUGGCGGCGUGCCUCAGACAUGCAAGUCGAACGAUUAAACUUUCCUUCGGGAAAGAUAUAAAGUGGCGCACGGGUGAGUAACACGUAAGUAAUCUACCUUCGAGUGGGGAAUAACAUCGGGAAACCGAUGCUAAUACCGCAUAAUGCAGCGGCACCUAAUGGUGACAGUUGUUAAAGGAGUAAUUCGCUUGAAGAGGAGCUUGCGGCAGAUUAGCUAGUUGGUAAGGUAAUGGCUUACCAAGGCUACGAUCUGUAUCCGGUCUAAGAGGACGGUCGGACACACUGACACUGAAUAACGGGUCAGACUCCUACGGGAGGCAGCAGUCGGGAAUUUUGGGCAAUGGGCGAAAGCCUGACCCAGCAACGCCGCGUGAAGGAUGAAGUAUUUCGGUAUGUAAACUUCGAAAGAAUGGGAAGAAUAAAUUGACGGUACCAUUUAUAAGGUCCGGCUAACUACGUGCCAGCAGCCGCGGUAAUACGUAGGGACCAAGCGUUGUUCGGAUUUACUGGGCGUAAAGGGCGCGUAGGCGGCAAAUUAAGUCAUCUGUGAAAUCUCCGAGCUUAACUCGGAACGGUCAGGUGAUACUGAUCUGCUAGAGUGCGGAAGGGGCAAUCGGAAUUCUUGGUGUAGCGGUGAAAUGCGUAGAUAUCAAGAGGAACACCUGAGGU